rnacentral:rRNA from 1 species
UACGUAGGGCGCAAGCGUUAUCCGGAAUUAUUGGGCGUAAAGAGCUCGUAGGCGGUUUGUCGCGUCUGCCGUGAAAACCCGGAGCUCAACUCCGGGCCUGCAGUCGAUACGGGCAGACUGGAGUUCGGCAGGGGAGACUGGAAUUCCUGGUGUAGCGGUGAAAUGCGCAGAUAUCAGGAGGAACACCGGUGGCGAAGGCGGGUCUCUGGGCCGAUACUGACGCUGAGGAGCGAAAGCGUGGGGAGCGAACAGG